rnacentral:rRNA from 1 species
UACGUAGGGGGCAAGCGUUGUCCGGAUUCAUUGGGCGUAAAGAGCUCGGUAGGCGGCUUGGCAAGUCGGGUGUGAAAACUUCAGGCUCAACCUGGAGCGGCCACUCGAUACUGCCAUGGCUAGAGUCCGGUAGGGGACCACGGAAUUCCUGGUGUAGCGGUGAAAUGCGCAGAUAUCAGGAGGAACACCGGUGGCGAAGGCGGUGGUCUGGGGCCGGAACUGACGCUGAGGAGCGAAAAGCGUGGGGGAGCGAACAGG